CCCGGCUAGCCGGCCUCGUCGCCUCAUCGCUUCCUGGCCCUAGCCGCAGGACAGGGAGCGCUCCCAGUUCCAGGCCCUUUCGCCCCUGCAAUCCCAUACUCCCACUCCUCUGGGAGAGAGUUCCUUUAAAACGCACUUCACACUUAAAUUCCACGCUCUGCCUCCCCAGAACCCUCCAUCUGUCAGACCCUCUGACUUCCCUAAGACUGCCCCUUCCGCUGCGUUCACCAGUGACUCACGCCCUGGGCUUGCCCGGAAGAGGGGUUACAGAGCCCUGGGCUCUCUCUCCUGGCCUUCUCUACCCAGCUUGAGAUGUAUGGGUACCACACACGUCCCCACUCUCUCCCUACCUCAGGAUCCGUGACUGUUUCCUGAAAUUCCGGGUUUUGGAGUCCUGUUCUUUAAACGGUUGGGAAAGUUGAGAGAGACACCCUAAAGCAACAGUUGUAGGGCUGAUCCCUUAAGUGUUAACUGAUUCCCACAGGUACUGCGGGCCCAGAGACCUGAUUUCAAUUGCAGCGCACUAAUGGUUAGGGAAUACACCCAAUCUUCCUUUACUACUGGAGUUACCAAAGGCUGAGAGAGCAGCGCCUACUUUGUCCAUCGCACUGGGCUGAAGUUGACAAAGAAGAAAAUAACAAUUCAUCUUUGCUUUAAAAGGACACAGCUUUUCUAAUGAGGUUACACGUUGGGUGAGAUGGAGUUUUCCCACUGGAUUCUCAGGAAUUUGGUGACAUGGCACGGUACUUUCUGAGCAGUGUUCCUUGCUGAGGAAUUUUCUUUCCCUGCUGGUUUGACAUUAAACAGAUUUGUUUAACCUUUAGAAGGUACUACUAUGGGGACUCUGGAAGGUAACAGAGUUGCAAUGACCCCCUGGAUCUCACACAGAGAUACCUUCCCUCCAGAAUCACCCUUAUCUAUCCCUCAAUAUGGAUUAAGUUCUUAAUUUUUUCAUCUGAAUUUGAGGUUUGGGGAUGGCUUACAGUAGUCAAAGCUGUUUUCGGCACUGUGGUCACUCCUGUUGUAGCAUGUCAUGAACCCCACAGUUCCGUCCUCAUGGCUCAGAGAGGUCACCAUGGAGACAUCUGACUGCAAUUGUGACCCAUUGCAGGUGCUGGCCGACUUCAGCUGCCCUGACUGAUAUUUGGGCAUGCCAAACCUAAAACAGAGAUUGGAUUUAGAGGAAUAUCUAUUGAUUUCUCCAUCAGCAAGCACCCAACAAGUGGAAGAACAGUUGACUAGGAAGCAUGAGGUAGAUAAAGGUAGGCCAAAAAACCAGGUGUACAGAGGACUGUGGGGGUUAUUUUGCAUUAAGAUCCUGUUGGCCUUUUUUUCCACUUUAUGGCUAGAACCAAAUGAGUUGUGAGAAUUUUGGAUAAUCAAUCAACUCUAUGACUUGUUUAUUUUCUCUUUAAAAUAUAAAGUUUCUAAUAAUCAUUUGAAUAUUUGUCCUUCAUGUAAUGAUAGGUUUAGAUUCUUUGAGCUGUUUAUAACCCUCACAACAUGUCCUUUAAUAAUACUGUUUGGGAUGGUGGUGUGCAUGUUAGUGAUGGAUAAUAUAAAUGGCCUUUUGUGUUUUUUGAAAAAGGAAAAUUCCUAUUCUUAAUUAUUAAGUAUUCAGUGAGCUCAUAAUGUGUUCAAAUAAUCAACUGUGGUGCCCUCAGCUGCCUCAGAUAUUGUCAUAACUUUUCACUCUUUAUUCCCAAACCUUACAUUUACAUCUGUGUACUCACAAGUGGGUACAUACUUAUUUCCUUCUUACCAUCAUUAGCCUUAUUUUUGGAAAUGUUGGGCCUAGCCACUUAAAAAAAAAACAAAUAUUUUUUAAAUGUUUACAUUUAAAUGAGACAACAUAAUAACUUAUUACAGAGUUGAAGAGAAAGGCCUGGAAGCAAAAUACGAGCUUUUCUCAUCCAUGGCUGCCCCUUCAUGAACAUGUUUAUGCUGAGACCCUGCUGCGUUGCUUUUCCUGGGAUGUAUAUUUUUAAGCUGCAUCACACAUUUAGUGAAAUAGCUCAGCUACAGUCUUACCUUGGGUGGAAGAUGGACCACCUUAAUGUAAUUCAGACAGAAACUGGAUUUAAUUUUUUCAGGCAAUAAUUUCAAUGUGUUUCAGAAAAUGAAACACAUUUCCCCACUGGCUUCUUUCUGUGCCAGUUUUUGUACUAAUAUAGAGGACUUGUUUGGCAGGACUUACCACUCAAAAGACCUGAAAUUAUUUGCAUGGACCUUCUAUCAAAAGUUCAUUUCUGCAGAAACUGGAGACCUUUUGUGGCACUUUAUCUUCAGCUUCCAUUCAGUGAAUGUCCAACUUGACAUGUGCUUCUUUCAAUCCAUAGAUUCAUGGACCUAGCUAGGAUUGGAAGAAUUCAAAUUCAUUCAGUUAGGACUAAUGUAAUUCAUAUAGUAGAAGACUAGAUCUGAAGUAACCAAGAGUUAAGAAUCUGAUCUUCACUUGAUCUUUCAAAAAGAAAUUUUUCAUGGACAAGGGAUCUGAAAAGACAUUUCUCCAAAGAAGAUAAACAAAUAGCCAGUAAGUAUGUGAAAAGACGCUCAACAUCAUUAGUCAUCAGAGAAAUGUAAAUCAAAACCACAAUGAGAUACCACUUCACCCACUAAAAUGACUUUAAU